rnacentral:lncRNA from 1 species
CUCCUGUGAUCACGUCCCUCUGCCGACACGGCAGCUCAGAAGCUGCCGGAGCUGUCACCUGCCUACAUGGGGCUGCACGCUUGCUUUGGGUCACUGUCACACACAACAAGCAAGUGGGUGGCCAUGUGCGACCUGCACCGGGCUGGCAGAGCCCUGCUUUGGCCAUUGGCACCUCUGAUGGGAUUUGCCACCACAGAAGAGCAGCCUCCAACUCCUUUCCAAACAUCUCCUUUCUACUUCACCUGGUUUGGCUGGAUCAUAACCCCCAGAGGUGAGGGAAGACUGGGAACACUUUAAGAGGCAUGCAGCAGCUGCCCCGUUUCUUUCCCUGACUUCAUCAAACUCUAACGGAAGUUGGAUGGCUUCAGAAUAAUUUCACCAGUGAGUUUGCUGCUGUGCUUGUUAGAAGGUGGAAAGGGAUGUGCUAUGAGAUGUUUUUUCUCUCUCCUCUCAGCUUUCUCAUGCCCUUCACAUUCCCCAUUGUAACCACCAGCAAUUUUACCUCUGGUAAAAUCUUCAAUGUGAUUUUAGUGGAAAUCAGAGAACUUCCUGGAUUGGCUUUUUGGGCUGCCACUGCUACGUGAGGUGGUUGGGACCUGGAGCUGGGUAGGUCUGGAUCUGGACUCCCCAGUCCUGCUGGCCAUAGGGGACUGGGAUGCCCUGAGGGACCACCCUGGUUCUCCAAGAACCACACUUGCAUGAAGUUGAGUUCCUUGUGCUGGCUCCUUCCCCAUGCAAGAUUUGCAAAACUAUAGCUCUUCCCCAAUGAUAUUAAAGACCUGGUUAGUGGAAAUUUGUACACAUUCCCCCCCCCCAACACAAUGUGAUGCUAGAGCAUUAUCCCACGUUAUUUGUUCCCAGGCUGUGUUGAUCACACUCCUACAAGCUCAGAGUUCAUGCCUCUCCUCUCCAACACAAUAUUCACUGAACUAGCAAAUGAAAAGUCACAACACAGUUUGGAGUACUGGGGA